rnacentral:rRNA from 1 species
GGUCUCGCGAAUGCUCUAGAUUAAGUUUGAUCAUGGCUCAGGCUGAACGCUGGCGGCGUGCCUAAUACAUGCAAGUCGAGCGAAUGGAUUAAGAGCUUGCUCUUAUGAAGUUAGCGGCGGACGGGUGAGUAACACGUGGGUAACCUGCCCAUAAGACUGGGAUAACUCCGGGAAACCGGGGCUAAUACCGGAUAACAUUUUGAACCGCAUGGUUCGAAAUUGAAAGGCGGCUUCGGCUGUCACUUAUGGAUGGACCCGCGUCGCAUUAGCUAGUUGGUGAGGUAACGGCUCACCAAGGCAACGAUGCGUAGCCGACCUGAGAGGGUGAUCGGCCACACUGGGACUGAGACACGGCCCAGACUCCUACGGGAGGCAGCAGUAGGGAAUCUUCCGCAAUGGACGAAAGUCUGACGGAGCAACGCCGCGUGAGUGAUGAAGGCUUUCGGGUCGUAAAACUCUGUUGUUAGGGAAGAACAAGUGCUAGUUGAAUAAGCUGGCACCUUGACGGUACCUAACCAGAAAGCCACGGCUAACUACGUGCCAGCAGCCGCGGUAAUACGUAGUGGCAAGCGUUAUCCGGAAUUAUUGGGGCGUAAAGCGCGCGCAGGUGGUUUCCUUAAGUCUUGAUGUGAAAGCCCCGGGUCACGUGGAGGGGC